GGGAAUGUGGCUUAGUGGUAAGAGUGCCUGCCUAGCAUGCAUGAAUUCCUGGGUUCAAUUCCUCAGUACCA
rnacentral:tRNA from 1 species